GAUAGGCGGGACUUCCAGGCAGAAAGAGGAAGAGGAGAUAACUGAGGCAAGCAGAAGACAACGUCAAGAUGCGGAAAAAGUCAGACACGCAGAACAGGACAGAGUCUGGUGAUGUGAUUGCUUGCAUAGUUGAUCUUUGGGUAUUGAAUCAGGUUUCCAUACCUAGGAGAAAUCCCACCUGGUCAUGACAAGUCACAGUCCUUCACUGAAGGAAGUCAAGGUAGGAACUCAAUCAGCAACUUGAAGCCAAGCCUGUUUUCUGUUCGGCACAGAAUCACCUCCAACCAGGAAAUUCACUCACAGCCACGGAAAUACAGCAGAAACCAUGGAGGAAUGCCGCUUGCUGGCUCACUCACAGGCCCACGAUCAGCCAGCUUCCUUAUCAAGCCCAGGACCACCUGCCCCAGGAUGAGUGUAGCCCAUAAUAUGCAGGGACCUUCUGUGUCAAUUAACAAUCAAGACGAUCACCCACAGCCGUGUCCACAGGCCAGGCGGAUCUAGGAAAUCCCUCAACUGGGGCUUUUCUCUCAGGGUCAGCUGUGCUACCCUACAGGCGUGAAAGAGGAGGAGUGAAGAUCUCUGACAAGUUCCUCAGAGGCCAGAACGCACACCUCAUGGGAAGAAAGCUGCCUGGGUUCCAGAUCAACCUUUGCUUCUGCCCCAACGCCACCUGCCCACUGAGACUCACUGACUGCUUUUAGUGCUCACCCAGAUGGGGCAAACACACCCCAGCACUUCCUUCUGAGGGUGCAACGUUUGAUUUAAUCCCACACCACUGAACGUGAGAGCAGCCUGCUGUCCAGGGUCCCCCCAGACCUCUGCCACCUGCACCCUAUUGAGGGUCUCACCCUGUGGAGGCCCCUAUAGAUAGAACCAAGCAGGGGUACAAAGCAAUUCCCAGUGAGCUAAUAUUCACAGCCAUCUAAUUGCAUAUUGAAAACAUAAAUUUUUGUCAUGUGUCGGAUGCCUCAAUAACGCUUAGAGGACCUGGAGAGGGAGAGGAGGCUGGGACUGAGAGGCCUGGUGAGGUCUUCCUGAUGACCCAGUCCAGCUGCUCUCCCCGGAGCCCUGUGGUGGGCAACCCUAAGCCCUGCCUGAGGCCUGUCUCUCUAAGAACCUACUGUAGUGGGUAGCUGUUCCAGCUUUGACCUGGAAGUACCACCCCUAGUGAGGCUUCUGGUAACUGCCCUGCCUACCUAUGACCUGCCCCUGGGGCAGGGCCAAGAUGGGAGCUUUUAACACCCGAGAUCCGGACGUGCAGGCUCUCUUGGCUCCUGGUGAUCCUGGAUGGUGAAUGACAGACCGAGUUAAGAGUUCUCCAGAGAACCCUGCUAGACUGCACCUCACUUCUUCCGGAUCCUGUAACCAACCCCUUUACUGGCUGUAAG